UAUAGAGUAUCUGGCAGUGUGUGUGUGUGUGUGUGUAUGUGUGUGUGUGUGUGUGUAUGUGUGUGUGUCAGAAUCAGUUAAGACCCUCAAGGAGUUAGCCUAGCGGUUAAGAGCGGUAACCGAAAGGUUGCUGGUUCGAAACCCUGAGACGACUAGGUGAAUAAAUCGGUCGAUGUGCCCUUGAGCAAGGCACUAAUAACUCCUGUAAGUCGUUCUGGAUAAGAUCGUCUGCCAAAUGACUACUAUGUGGGAUUUUGUAACAGAGAUCAGGCGAGGCGAGGUGGCGAGGCCGUGGAGAGUUCAGCGGACAGGGGAUUGGCUCAGGGAGGUUUCAUCUCCGAGGGUCAAUCUGGCAGGUCAUCGUAACAGCAGACAGCACACCACACUCAGGCGUCUUCUGAACCACACCUGGCCCCCUGACUGAGUCUACAGCAUGCUCCAGGACUGGUGGCAUGUGUCAGGAUAAUGAUGAACAAAACAUUAGGAACACCUUCCUCAUAUUGAUUUGCACCACCCCCCUUUUGCCCUCAGAACAGCCUCAAACACUGGCAUGGUUUAAAGAGACUGUCAGUACGUGGAUUAAAUAGACUGUCAGUACAUGGUUUAAAUAGACUGUCAGUACGUAGCUGAUAAACACUGGCUU
ensembl:lncRNA